rnacentral:rRNA from 1 species
UACGUAGGGGGCAAGCGUUGUCCGGAAUCAUUGGGCGUAAAGCGCGUGUAGGCGGGUCGGUAAGUCCGCUCUGAAAGCCCGGGGCUCAACCCCCGGGAGGCGGGUGGAUACUGUCGACCUCGAGUCCGGAAGAGGCGAGUGGAAUUCCUGGUGUAGCGGUGAAAUGCGCAGAUAUCAAGGAGGAACACCAUGGCGAAGGCAGCUCGCUGGGACGGUACUGACGCUGAGACGCGAAAGCGUGGGGAGCAACAGG